AUUGAACGCUGGCGGCAGGCCUAACACAUGCAAGUCGAACGAGUGGCGGACGGGUGAGUAAUGUCUGGGAAACUGCACGACGGAGGGGGAUAACUACUGGAAACGGUAGCUAAUACCGCAUACCAUCGGAUGUGCCCAGGUGGGAUUAGCUAGUUGGUGGGGUAACGGCUCACCUAGGCGACGAUCCCUAGCUGGUCUGAGAGGAUGACCAGCCACACUGGGACUGAGACACGGUCCAGACUCCUACGGGAGGCAGCAGUGGGGAAUAUUGGACAAUGGGCGCAAGCCUGAUGCAGCCAUGCCGCGUGUAUGAAGAAGGCCUUCGGGUUGUAAAGUACUUUCGGCGAGGAGGCGUUACUCGCAGAAGAAGCACCGGCUAACUCCGUGCCAGCAGCCGCGGUAAUUC
rnacentral:rRNA from 1 species